rnacentral:misc_RNA from 1 species
UUGUGGAGGAGGACGCCGAAGGUGGGGCUAAUGACUGGGGUGAAGUCGUAACAAGGUAGCCGUACCGGAAGGUGCGGCUGGAUCACCUCCUAACAGGGAGACAACAAAAUGUUAAAUAUUAAUUUUGUCACCUUAGGUCGAUCGGUAUCUCACAUUUUUAAUUUAUUAAAAAUUUUAUUUCCUAAGUUUUUUCUAGGUCACACCCAUUAUUUUCCUGGGCCAUUAGCUCAGGUGGUUAGAGCGCACCCCUGAUAAGGGUGAGGUCCCUGGUUCAAGUCCAGGAUGGCCCAUAUCUCUAUGUUGGGGGUAUAGCUCAGUUGGUAGAGCGCCUGCUUUGCAAGCAGGAUGUCAGCGGUUCGAGUCCGCUUACCUCCACUGAUUACCACCUCUUCCAUAAAUUCAUAGAAGGGAAAUUUCUGAGGUGUGAUCAAAUUCUGAACGAAUCUAGCUUCCUAAUCAUAUUUAUUAAGAUGCUGGACUCAUUGAAUUAAUUUCAUUGUUUUCAGAGAACCUUGACAACUGCAUAGAUUAUUUUAAAGACAAUAAGCAUCUUUAAUGAUGCAGAUUUAUUAUUUGUGCGAAUGCAUUAAUAACAAUUCUAUUAAGCUGAUGCUUCAAUUAUUGAAGUUAUUGGUCAAGCUACAA